rnacentral:rRNA from 1 species
UACGUAGGGACCGAGCGUUGUCCGGAAUCAUUGGGCGUAAAGAGCGUGUAGGCGGCCACUUAAGUCCUGCGUGAAAUCUUGCGGCUCAACCGCAAGCGGUCGUGGGAAACUGGGUGGCUAGAGUGCGGGAGAGGAGAGUGGAAUUCCUGGUGUAGCGGUGGAAUGCGCAGAUAUCAGGAAGAACACCCGUGGCGAAGGCGGCUCUCUGGGACGCAACUGACGCUGAGGAGCGAAAGCGUGGGGAGCGAACAGG